GGUCCAUUAGCUCAGUUGGUAGAGCAAUUGACUCUUAAUCAAUGGGUCACAGGUUCGAGUCCUGUAUGGAUCACCA
rnacentral:tRNA from 1 species